GCCUACGUAGCUCAGUUGGUCAGAGCGAGAGUCUUCUAAUCUCUAGGUCGGGAGUUCGAAUCUCUCCGUAGGUGCCA
rnacentral:tRNA from 1 species